GUGGCAGGCUGGUGGCAGGGGUUGCAAACAGGCAAACGCAAACGGCAGCAGUAAGGGUCCGGACAGCGCCGGCAGCGCAGGCAGAGUCAGGCGUGCAGGGGUUGCAAACCGGAGGUUGAUGCUGCAAUGGCAGUAGCAGAGGUCCAGACAGCGCCGGCAGCGCAGGCAGGGGCACCAACCACUCUGAACCACAGACCCGGCCCAUGACUAACGCAGUUUAGACAGCAAACGAGCAGACGAGCCUGAUGGAAAGCGGUCAACGUCGCUCGUCGACAUAAGCAACAUCAUAGGAGCCACUUUAGAAGGACUUCUAUUUCGGGAGAAAACGUUUUUCGGCUUUCAAAUAUUUUCAAGUAUGUUAUUGACACAAUGAAAAACUAGGUUUAUACGUUCUCCUAUUUUUCAAAAUUUGCAAAUCUACAAACAAAAACCCUUUUGUUCAAAAAAACGAUACCUAUAAACCUAGAAUAUAUUAUGCUGAAGCGAUCGACAUCAAAAUCAAUUUUAUAAGUGGAAAACGUUUUCUCCCAAAAUAGAAUUACAUAGAAAAAUUACCGUUAUUUCGUUCGAUUUCAAAAGCUAUUCUUCCCCCUUAAGCGUUGCCGACCCUUGAGAACCCUAAAUACCCGCUUCAUUAAUGACAAUGAUACAUAUAUAUAUAUAUAGGUAAGUAUAUAAGGUACCGACUUAAUUU